rnacentral:ncRNA from 1 species
CUAGCCUUUAAGUCAGUUCUUACUUAAUUUACACAUGCAAGUCUCCGCACCCCUGUGAAAACGCCCUUAAUCCCCUAUUGGGAAUAGGAGCCGGUAUCAGGCACAAUUUUUUGCCCAAAACACCUAGCCUCGCCACACCCUCAAGGGACCUCAGCAGUGAUAAACAUUGAGUAUAAGCGAUAGCUUGACUCAGUUAAACUAAUUAGAGCCGGCCAAUCUGGUGCCAGCCGCCGCGGUUACACCAGGAGCUCAAAUUGACUUCAAUCGGCGUAAAGCGUGAUUAAAGAAACUACCUCUAAUGGGAUCAAAUUUAAAUUAAGCCGUGAUACGCUUAUUACCUAAGAAGUUCAUUAACGAAAGUUAUUCCAUUUAUACCUCCUUGAAUUCACGACAACUGAGAAACAAACUGGGAUUAGAUACCCCACUAUGCUCAGUCGUAAACUUUAAAUUACAACCCAUUCGCCCGGGAACUACGAGCUACGCUUAAAACCCAAAGGACUUGACGGUACCCCAUAUCCACCUAGAGGAGCCUGUCCUAUAAUCGAUAACCCACGCUUAACCUCACCACCUUUAGCCUAUUCAGCCUGUAUACCUCCGUCGUCAGCUUACCACAUGAGUGCGUGAGCUUAAUGUUUGCCAACCAAACGUCAGGUCAAGGUGCAACUUAUGAGGUGGGAAGAGAUGGGCUACACUCUCUAACCUAGAACACACGAAAGACUAUUUAUGAAAACUAGUCAGAAGGCGGAUUUAGCAGUAAACAGAAACCAGAAAAUUCUUUUUAAUUCGGCACUGGGGUGUGUACACACCGCCCGUCACCCUCCUCUAACGCUGCAAAACAGUUUUUAACCAAUUUUAGCCCCCCAGAGGAGGCAAGUCGUAACAUGGUAAGUAUACCGGAAGGUGUGCUUGGACA